UCAUAGUUGAGUCACAGUUGUGAGGACCCGUCCUAAAAUAGCUACCUAAACAUAGCUCAGAUCGUACCUGCCACGUCUCAGAGUCCUAUGCUGGGGAUGGCCCCCUCCCACCGGGUGGAACCACCUGUGGAGUGAAAGAAUGUCCGUGAGAUAAACAGCAUGUGAACAGAGCCCUUUGAAUACUCACAGCGCCGUGAUUGCAGCCUAACCUGCUCUACCAUGGGAAGUUAGGGAGAGGACUUGUGCCAGGCCUGCGGCAGAGUGCCCAAGAGAAAAGCAACUCCCGCUCUCCCAGUGCCACAGACAAGGUCUGACCGCAGUAGAGUGGGAAAAAACAGUUACUCCGGACUAUCGGCAGCACAGCCCAGGGCCAGGCCUGGGCAAGGAGCAGCUGGUCUUGAACAUACACGAACCCUUACUCUGAGGACCUCCAAGGAACCGCCAGGGGAGCCACCAAAAGUCAUAAUAAAGAGAUACUAAGUAUGA